rnacentral:rRNA from 1 species
GGUGAACGCUGGCGGCGUGCCUAAGACAUGCAAGUCGAGCGGGGCAGGUUUAUACCUGUUCAGCGGCGGACGGGUGAGUAACGCGUGGGUGACCUACCCGGAAGAGGCGGACAACCUGGGGAAACCCAGGCUAAUCCGCCAUGUGGUCCUGUCCUGUGGGGCAGGACUAAAGGGGCGACCCGCUUCCGGAUGGGCCCGCGUCCCAUCAGCUAGUUGGUGGGGUAAAGGCCCACCAAGGCGACGACGGGUAGCCGGUCUGAGAGGAUGGCCGGCCACAGGGGCACCGAGACACGGGCGCCACGCCUACGGGAGGCAGCAGUUAGGAAUCUUCCGCAAUGGACGGAAGUCUGACGGAGCGACGCCGCUUGGAGGAGGAAGCCAUUCGGGGUGUAAACUCCUGAACUGGGGACGAAAGCCCCGUGUAGGGGGAUGACGGUACCCAGGUAAUAGCGCCGGCCAACUCCGUG